AUUGGUUGAGGCCUAUGCUCAACCUACCUUUGAGAUAUCCUACCUUUGUAAAUGUUCUAGGCCCAUAUGAAAGAGUGCAGUGACCACAUAAGACUGAGACCUGUUCUGCCUUAUACUUCAUUCUGGGAACGCUGAUCAUAGAGUUUUUAUUAAAACAAAGGGCUAAUAUAUAGUGCAGUCUGGAGACUAAUGAAAAAAAAAAAAACAGUACAAAUAAGCCCCCCUCCCCAAUAUUCUUUGCCUUUAGUCUUUUUUAGCCACGUUAUAGACUAUCAAGAGGCCAACUAUGGGAGGCAUCAGACAUAGAUAGGCUGAUGGCCUCUCUUAACCUCUUAUUCUAUCCGAAUCUUAGACAUCGGUUCACUCCGAUUAAAGUUAUUAAACUAGUAUAUAAUGGUCAGGCGGUGGUGGUGCACACCUUUAAUCUCAGCACUCGGGAGGCAGGGAAACCCUGUCUCAAAAAAAACAAAAACAAAAAACCUAGUAUAUAAUGUCCACCAUUUGUGACACAGAGAAUAGUAGGAAACAAUGAUCAUCUUUAAGAAACUUUGGCAAAGAUCCAUCAGAAUUGAUCCCCCUGUACUGUCACUGUGAGCUACAUCAGAGGCUUGAAAAAUGGAAAGUGCACGAUGGUCCCUUCAUCAGCCCUUCACAUGGGCACAUGAAUAUUCACGUUUCCACACUUCUACAUAAUGCUGCAUUUCUUGGUUUUAUUUGAAACAGUGCAUAUUUUAAGCAUUUUAUGGAAGGAUUUUACACUUGUCAUUUACACAAAUUACAAGGUUCGGCUUAAAGUCUUUAAAAAAAUUCUAAAAAUCCAGCCCAUGUGCAGCACAAGAAUAUGCAAAACUACUUUACAGUAUACACACUUUUUAUCAAAGGAGAUACAAAAUUCUGGCUUGUAGUUUUAGACAAAUACAAGAAGCUUCAAACUAGACACAAAGGGUUAACAUUAAUUCUCAAUUUUAAGUCUGCACUUUUGUGUUGUAUUUCUCUGAGAUGUAAAUACCAAAUUCCUAAGAGAUUUUAACAUUUUCUUUUUCAAAGAAAACCUGACACAUUUCCAGUAAACAAGUCCCUCUCAAUUUGCUUAAUCCCCAACCAGUUUACUCUUGGUGCCAGAGACCAGGCACUCAUGAGGAACAGACCCUGACAGUAACUGUUUCAAUGCAAAACUCCAAAGAGCUGUAACAGAUGUGAACGCUUCUGCUGUAUUCUGACCAGUGCCCUUAACAUUUAGGAACCUUCUUCCUUACACUGUGUGACUAACUGCUCAACAUAGAGUUCACUGGGUUCCAGCAAAGAAGUUUUGGUAGUGACAAACUGGUGGCCCUAAGUCAAACUUGUAAAUAGAAUAUAGCACUGACUGAAUGAGGGACCUGACUGACGGUAUGCAUAGAUGCUCUGUCAGCAGAUUGGAGGCAACAGGAAGAGCAGGGCUUUUACGCCCUUUCAAGAAAUAUUGUUUCUAUCAUUGGUAUUCACUGUUCUCUAGCCAUCUUCUGACACCUAAACAUGUACAUGUAAAAUACUUAAAAGAAGCCCACCUUUCACCCAGAAUCAAUUUAUAGCCAACUCUCACUUAUCUAUGAGAACCUAAUUGACAUACUAUCAAAGAAUUUCAUUCUGGAGAGUUUUGAUACUUCAGUGAUUUUACACAUCCCAGCAAGACCAAGUCAUAAUGCAAACAGAGCAGCUCGUCCCACUAGGAUUUUGGGUACAAGCCAAGCAGAAACAGUGGAGACAGGCAAAACACCUGAGGAGGAUAAGAGAAAAUUAAUUUCAAACGUCUCCUCAUUCUUGCACAUGUCCAUAGUCCUACAAACCGAGCACCUGAGGCACAGUCACUAUUUUACAUAGAUAAGGGAGAGUUGGCUGUAGUCAUGUCCUUCUGUGACUUUAGCCCUUUCACAUAAAAAUUCCUAAGAAAGCAAAGCAUGAUAAAAAGAUAAGACUUACAUAAGACAUCUAAAAGCAUUUAUUUUAUGCAAAAAUUAAAUAGGAUUAUGUGCACAGAAAUACUGUACACAGUAUCUAUGCUGAACAAUGAAUGCCAAGGAAUACAAUAUUGUAACAGUUGUCUGUAAAAUAAAAAUAAAAACUGAGCCCCAAUUAUCAGACAAAAAUAAAAGGCCUAUUUCCCAACAGCACGGUGCCAGACGUCGAGAGCAUAUCUCUGUCCCUCACAAAGCUGCCAGUGUCCAUCUACUGAUAGUUCCAAAAAAACAAAACAAACCCUAAAAACAAAACCAACCUUUUUUUACAUUAAUAAUAAAAAUCUGGUGACAAUUAUAAAACCAAAUCCUGGACAGUCUUUACUCCCUGAAAACCCAAUUAUUCCAUCAUAAUCACAGGAGUAAAAACCAUUCUAAACUGAUAUGCCUUAUGAAACAAUAUGUACAUUUAUUGCAAAUUAUAUUAAACUAAAAUGGGAGAAAUCAUAAUAUGAAGUGUUUACUACUUGCAGAUCAAUAAUUUUAAUUAUUUUCUCAUUCUGAUAAAAAUCAGAAAGCAACAUUUAUAAAAUUGCCACAUUACUUUUCAUAGCAGGGAACAGAAAUCUGUACAUCUCAUUUUUUGCAGAAAAGUAGACAGGCAGAAAGAAUAAUACAUAAGUUUCCAAAAGGAAAACGAAGAAAUAUGUCAUCUGCUCUCUCGCUUGUAAAGCCUCAGUUCAGUAGACACCUGCUCGCCUGUGUGGCACGGGGUUCUGGGCUCUAGGAUGGACCAGUUCUCAGCAUCAGUGAAUGGACGCCCUGUUCCUCUCUAAAAUGAAAUCUGCAGCAUGGAAAAAAUGGUUACUAUGCCUUUAAGUUCCAGAUAUGCAGGACCUGGAACCAAGUGUUAAGCAAUUUGCUUAAUUAUUGACUUUUCCCAGGAAAAGUCUGGGGGAGGGGAAGAACAGAGAUGCUCUUAGCCUCUCUAGAGUCUGCUGUACAUUUCACCAGAGGACUUAGGCUGUGUAAAAAGGAAGGCUAGCUUCGUUCAGUUUUCAAGGCAGAAAGUGUGUAUUUGAAGUGAGCUUCGUUUUCUGUUUGGGGACAUUGGAAUCCAAGUUUUUACAGAACCUGGACUCUGCUUCUGUUUGGCCUUCGUUUUCUCCUUUUACCUUGGGAACAGAAGAACACAAAGUUAGAACCAUCUAAGUUUGUGAAAUAAAACUUCAUUAAGCUACAUAAAACUAAAGAACAAUAUGCAAGUUUCUAUUCGAUAGCCAAGUUCUGUGGUCAAGACUAAUCUGUUUAAAAUGCUAACACCGUUCAUCUCAAAAAACUACAGAUUUUCAAUCAAUUCUUUCAAAAAUGAAAUUAUAGGACAAAAUACUACACAUUAGACAGUAAAUUUACAAAAAACAAGGGUAUAUUUUGAUGGGGGGGGG
rnacentral:lncRNA from 1 species